GUAAAAGAUGGGCAUGUUCCCAUUAGCUAGUGGUAAGGUAACGGCUUACCAAGGCUACGAUGGGUAGGGUCCUGAGAGGGAGAUCCCCCACCACUGGUAUUGAGACACGGACCAGAUUCCUACGGGAGGCAGCAGUGAGGAAUAUUGGACAAUGGGCGCAAGCCUGAUCCAGCCAUGCCGCGUGCAGGAUGACGGUCCUAUGGAUUGUAAACUGCUUUUAUACGAGAAGAAACACUCCGACGUGUCGGAGCUUGACGGUAUCGUAAGAAUAAGGAUCGGCUAACUCCGUGCCAGCAGCCGCGGUAAUACGGAGGAUCCAAGCGUUAUCCGGAAUCAUUGGGUUUAAAGGGUCCGUAGGCGGUUUAGUAAGUCAGUGGUGAAAGCCCAUCGCUCAACGGUGGAACGGCCAUUGAUACUGCUAAACUUGAAUUAUUAGGAAGUAACUAGAAUAUGUAGUGUAGCGGUGAAAUGCUUAGAGAUUACAUGGAAUACCAAUUGCGAAGGCAGGUUACUACUAAUGGAUUGACGCUGAUGGACGAAAGCGUGGGUAGCGAACAGGAUUAGAUACCCUGGUAGUCCACGCCGUAAACGAUGGAUACUAGCUGUUGGAAGCAAUUUCAGUGGCUAAGCGAAAGUGAUAAGUAUCCCACCUGGGGAGUACGUUCGCAAGAAUGAAACUCAAAGGAAUUGACGGGGGCCCGCACAAGCGGUGGAGCAUGUGGUUUAAUUCGAUGAUACGCGAGGAACCUUACCAAGGCUUAAAUGUAGAUUGACCGGUUU
rnacentral:rRNA from 1 species